rnacentral:rRNA from 1 species
CCUACGGGAGGCUGCAGUGGGGAAUAUUGGACAAUGGGGGGAACCCUGAUCCAGCCAUGCCGCGUGUGUGAAGAAGGCCCUCGGGUUGUAAACACUUUCAGUGAGGAAGAACGCCUGGUGGUUAAUACCCAUCAGGAAAGACAUCACUCACAGAAGAAGCACCGGCUAACUCCGUGCCAGCAGCCGCGGUAAUACGGAGGGUGCGAGCGUUAAUCGGAAUUACUGGGCGUAAAGCGCGCGUAGGUGGCUUGAUAAGCCGGUUGUGAAAGCCCCGGGCUCAACCUGGGAACGGCAUCCGGAACUGUCAAGCUAGAGUGCAGGAGAGGAAGGUAGAAUUCCCGGUGUAGCGGUGAAAUGCGUAGAGAUCGGGAGGAAUACCAGUGGCGAAGGCGGCCUUCUGGACUGACACUGACACUGAGGUGCGAAAGCGUGGGUAGCAAACAGGAUUAGAUACCCGUGUAGUC